rnacentral:tRNA from 1 species
GGGGGAGUAGCUCAGUUGGUUAGAGCGCCACGUUGACAUCGUGGAGGUCAUUGGUUCGAUCCCAACCUUCCCCACCA